rnacentral:tRNA from 1 species
GGCUGAGUAGCUCAGUUGGUAGAGCAGGAGAAUCAUAAUCUCUUAGUCGGGGGUUCAAGUCCCUCCUCAGCCU